UACGUAGGGUGCGAGCGUUAAUCGGAAUUACUGGGCGUAAAGGGCGCGUAGGCGGUCUUCUAAGUCUUGUGUGAAAUCCCUCGGCUCAACUGAGGAACUGCACGGGAUACUGGAAGACUUGAGUUCGGGAGAGGGAAGCGGAAUUCCGGGUGUAGCGGUGAAAUGCGUAGAUAUCCGGAGGAACACCGGUGGCGAAGGCGGCUUCCUGGACCGAUUACUGACGCUGAGGCGCGAAAGCUAGGGGAGCAAACGGG
rnacentral:rRNA from 1 species